GAUAUUUCAACAUGGUACAAAGAUAUACCAUCAAUAUGAUCACUCCCGAUACUAAAGAUUGGACCUGUAAAGUCCAAGUUGUUGAUAAAAGUCGACCAAGGGACAACAAAGAUAAAACCACAAAAUACCAAGUCUUAGUUCUGCAAGAUGAAGAGGAGAAUCAAGUUCAGGCCACUAUUUUCAGUACCGAUAUAACAUAUUUUGAAAAAGAAUUUGCUCCUUUCAAGACUUACUUGGUAUCUGUUGCACAUGUGAAAUUACC